rnacentral:rRNA from 1 species
AUGUCAAACCUCCCUGCCGCCGCCGCUUCCAGGCGCUCGGGCCAUCGCCCCUGGGUGCUCACCGACGCCAAGUGCCACAUCGGCGACCGCAACAACGCGACCACCGCGCACGCCGUCACCAGCCAAGGGAGCGACAUCAAGGUGACCUUCGAGCUUGCAGACCCGCCCGGCGUCUCUCGCUGCUUCGUCCACUGCCCCAGCCUCGCGGGGAGCCGCUACGGGGGAGAUCCCGUGGUUCUGAGCUCUGCGGGCGCCUUUGUCCUUCUCGUUGUAACUUUCAAGCACGGCCCCAGGCCAGGUCCAGGGGCUCCAUCUGUACGGCGGAGAUCCCGUGGUUCUCAGUUGGGCGGACGCGGGGAGCACAACGAUUUCUUCGUCUACAGGGCAGGUCCAGGUGCUCCAUCUCUCCGCCUUCUCCCUGGCAUCGGCCCCUACUGCUGUCCCGAUGUAGUCACUCUGGCUGGCGUCAUGCCCCUCGGUGGCGCCGAUCUCAACAGCAAAGACUACGCAGUGGUUUUCCCCUCGCUAUUAAAACCUUGGUCGCGAAACACCAACGACUCUACAGAGUACAUCCUCCACGUGUAUCUAUCGGAUACCUCUAAGUGGGAGUGGCGCAACCUCAAGGUGUCCAAAGACCACAAUCCCGAGGUAAUAAUGCAGCACGAAGGCACACGCGUGAUCUUCGCCGGAAGGGGAACACUUAGCUGGGUCAAUCAUUGGCAUGGCAUUCUUCUAUGCAACGUGCUCGACCGGUAUCCGGUCAUGCGUUUGAUCCAAUGGCCUGUUCCGAUACCUUGCGAUCUGGUGUCGCGGUUCGGCAUGGGAGUCGACAGUAUCUACACAUGGUCGUUCCAUGACGUCGCUAUAAGCAAUGGCGUAAUCAGGUUUGUCGAGCUGAAAUCUUGUCGGUGUAGCGACACCCACAAUGAGAAAGGGGUCAUUGGCCAAGGCUGGACGGUCACCACAUGGAACAGGGGGAUCUACUCAAACAAGUGGGACAAGAAGUUCACUGUCAAGGCUGAUAAUGUGCUUGUCACGGGUUCAAGUUACCCGAAGGUAUCGGGUGGCAAGAGGUUGAGUUGGGAUAAGGUGGUUCACGGUGGGCCCACUCUGAGCUUGUGUGACGACGAUGUUGUCUACAUCGUGGCUAGACUGGACAUCCGGUCCGCGGUUGCAUGGAUGCUUGCCAUUAACAUAAGAGAGGGAACACUGGAAGCCGUCCAGCAGUGUUCUGCGGAUAAGAUGCUCGCUCUUGAACCGACUUAUGUUCAGUGUGCCUUGUCCAACUACAUCAAGCAGUAG